rnacentral:rRNA from 1 species
UACGGGGGGGGCAAGCGUUGUUCGGAAUUACUGGGCGUAAAGGGCUCGUAGGCGGCCAACUAAGUCAGACGUGAAAUCCCUCGGCUUAACCGGGGAACUGCGUCUGAUACUGUGCGGCUAGAGUGCGGAAGGGGCAACUGGAAUUCUUGGUGUAGCGGUGAAAUGCGUAGAUACCAAGAGGAACACCUGCGGCGAAGGCGGGUUGCUGGGCCGACACUGACGCUGAUGCGCGAAAGCUAGGGGAGCGAACGGG